GCACCCUGUGAGAUGGGAAUGGCUAUUUGAUAUUCUUGUCUUCUUCUGGGGACAUGACUAAGACAGGGGAGGAGGACCCAGACAAGGAACUGCACUGUCAUUGGCUGAGAAGGUCUUGGCCACAACACAGUGGCAGCUGUCCUGGUCGUCUAAGUCCUUAGUAGCAGCUGUUGCUUCUGUUCUCUGGAAGCUCGAAGCCUAGCAUCAGACACCAAGACUAGCUCUGAGCCCACGGUCUUGGUUUGUCCUUGAAGUAUGAGGCUGGUGACUGGAGUAACUGUGUUUCUGACCCUGGGGACUAUGAUUGAUGCUCAGACCACCCAGCCAAACUCCAAGGACUGUGCUGAAGGGGAAGAUGUAAAGCUGCCUUGUAACCACUCUACCAUCAGUGGAGCUGACUAUAUACAUUGGUAUCGGCAAAAUCCCAAUCAGAGUCCACAGCACAUCAUUCAUGGCUUACAAAGCAAUGUGACCAACAGCAUGGCUUCUCUGACCAUAGCUUCAGACAGAAAGUCCAGCACCUUGAUCCUGCCCCGGGUGACACUGAGAGACACCGCUGUGUACUACUGCAUCCUAAGAGACCCACAGUGGGACAGAUGGGGCUGUACCUGUACAGUAUCUCUCUGGUGACAAGGAUGGGAGUGGAGGGGGGCAGAAUCACUGAGAGCAAAUCUAGAGCCAUCUAGAGUGAGAGUCAGAGAGCAAGAAGAAAAGAGGGAAAAACAGGAGAAGGAAAGGGCGAGAAUAUGGAUAAAGAAAAGAAGAAAGAGAGGACAAGGAAUCAGUGCUUCAUUGGUUGAUGUGGCUGAGAGAAUUAUCUGGAGAAUAAGAAUCAUAAUUUUAACAUAGCAAGAAAGUGAAGAUGUAUAAAUAGGUUUUUAUGGCUCCUCCUCAAGUCAAUAAAAUGCUGGUUUCAGUGUGUUUGUCUCAACAUAGUAGGUGAGGAAAAUCCAAGUAAUUCUCCUUUCCCACGGGCUUCCUUCAUUGGACCCAGGGCAGGUACAGACCCAGAGGGCGUAUAAGUCCAGCUGUUCCAUUUACCAAAAGCAAACUACUCUUUCCCUGAGAGCAAUCUGAAACGUUUUUGUUGCUAGUCUAGAACAUGCAUAUUUGUGAUGAAGCUUUUUUGGAAAGAAACAAAAACUAAGUAACUAUGUUUAAUUGUCUAGAAGUCUUGUCUCUAUGAUGAAUUUUUAUUUUUUAAUAUUCCCUAAGCAACACAUAGAUCCUCUCAUCAUAAAAGACUCGGGCAGAGCAAAAGCAAAAGCCCAUGGCUCUAUCUCAUUCCACCCUACCUCCCAUCAUCCUUCUCUGAGGAAAGCAGUUCUGAUAGUUUGUCAUAUAAUGCCAGCCUAUUUUGUUUCAAUUAUAUACAUAUUUGCACAUCAUUUUGUGUAACUCCAUGCACAUAUACAAACACACACAACAAAUACAAAAACAAUUUGCCAUAUAAAUUGGGUUAUUUCGACUUUUUACAACCGGCCUUUUGAUUUUCAUUUAAAUAGUUUCCUGGAGAUCUUUCUACUGUUGCAAAAAGUAGAGAGGCCAUUUACCUCUUUUGGAUGCCUGUUCAGUACUUUGAAACAUUUCAUCAUUAAACUAAUUUCUUUCCUAUUAAUGAAUAUUUGUUUCUAUUUCUUUGCUGUCAUAAAGAUUGUUGCCUUUACACAUAUUCAUAGAGACACUUUUGUAUGUGUGUGAAAUUUUUUUUUUAAUAACACUAUAUUAUAUAUUUGAAAGUUGGUAGGAA